UUUUUGUCUUCUUCUUCUCAGCUUGGAAAGACUGAGUCGUCACCUCUAAGGAGAGGGAAGAUCCUGGAAAAAGAAGCAGCGUUGCCAGAAGAAACUUUUGUUUGGUCUAGUGGUUAAAGCGCCAGUCCAGAAACUGUGAGCCAGUGAGUUCUAAUCCUGCCUUACCCAUGAAAGAAAUCUGCGUGACUUUGGGCCAAUCAUCAGGAGAAGAAAGACGCUGACCUCUUCGUGACCAAGCAGAGGAUGAGACGCUCUCGCCAUAAAUACCUAUCAAGACCCACCAUCAUCCUGCCCAAAGGUUGCCUAUAAUUCUGCAAGCGGCCUGCUGUCAAAAGUACAGAAAUGAAACAGAAAGCUGGAAAACAAACUGGUGAUCUAAGAGGUCCCAGGGGAGACUCCUCCAAGGCUGAUCUCAAACCUGCCAACACUGGCCGAGCCCAAAGAAACCCAAAGAAAAACAAGAUUGAGGUCAGCCUUGCAAAUAAUGCUUUGAAAAAUGGCUAUAUCUGGCCCCAAAGGAAACAAAAAAAAGUUAAAAAGAAGAACUGAUGUCUGUCCAGAUUUCCGGCCUGUUGCCUAAAACCUGAUGUGUUGGGGUUGUUUUUUUUUCCUUGCCCCCACAAACUUAACUGAGCCAUGCCAGCUUAAAUUUGGCUCCACUCGCUCGAUGCUGUUCCAAUAAAAGGAAGCUAGUCUUUUGGAUCCAUGCACAUUUGAAGCUCGUUUUCCACAUUGGCGCUUGCUCUCAGCUAAAAAGCACCCAGACAUCGAGUAGAGCGAGCUAGAGAUACACAUCUUUUACUUUACACUUUGCAAAUGUUGUGCUCGACCUGCAGAACGUGGCUGUUGACUUGCACCGAGAUUAGAUCAGAACUUCCCUCCUUGUUUUAUGACCUUGAUCUGCAAGGAAACAGGGACCUUGAAAAGUCGCAAGAGGUUUGCGAUUUGCAGGUGAUCUUUGAUUUACAACAAUCAGUCCCUGCAUUUACAAGCCUGGCAGCAUCCCACACGGUCUGCAGCAAUUUUUCUGUACUUUGGUUCACAUAAUCGUUCAAACUUCGUUUUUCUUCUUCUACAGUUUGAGGGAUUUGCAAUAGUCCUCUGCCCCCUAUUUUUCUUGGUAGGUAUAACCUGUCACUUCGUGGAUGCAAAGCUUGGUACAUAUUCAAAAGUUUGUGCAUUUUCCGGUCCAAGUUUUCUAGUUCAGCCAAAGUCCAGUUGAUGAUUCCAGCUGAGUAGCGUAUCACUGGAACUGCCCAUGUAUUAAUGCCCUUAAUUAUGUUUCCAGCAUUCAGCUUUAAUAUCUUGCGUUGACUCUUUGACUUUUCCAUUCAAAAAUGUUAUCUGCUUCCAAUAGGCCUAGGUACAGGUAUUUGUAACCAUCAUCCUUUGCUAAUGCUUUUACUAUGUUUCCAUUUCCCAGUUCUAUUCCUUCUAUUUUUUUCAUUUUUCCUUGCUGCAUGGAUAAUAGAGCACAUUACAGUGGGGCUUUCCACAUACAUUUUUAAGUCAUCCAUGUAUAGUAGAUGGUUUAUCUUGGCAUGUUGGCUUGAGAUUUGGUAUCCCAGUUUUGUUUUUCGUAGGAUUAUUAUUGUUGUUGUUGUUUUUGUUGUUGUUAUUAUUAUUAAUUUAACGAUCAUAAGGAAAAAAGGUGUAAAUUCGGAUGCAGUCACUCAAUGCCUUGCUGAACAACGACAAUGCUCAAUGAUGAAUUUUCCAAUCCCAAUUAUGGUCGUAAAUUGGGGACUACCAUGUUAAUAAAACAACAGAGAGAGGAGUCAUCUCAUUAGUAACAAAGGUAACCAUUCGGAUGGCCCCCACAAAAGCCCACCGCUUGAUUAAAAGCCAUUGACCAGUUUCUUCACACAGCAGAAUGAAUUGUAGUUUAAUAAUUCCGCUGUUGAGCUUUGAAGCUUCUCCGGUUUCAGAAUAAACGAUUUAUGA